UCUACGGGCAGCGGCAGGGCCCAAAAACCCGCGGGGCGCGAAGCCGCACCUCGCCGCGCGAAGGUUCGAGGAGAGCGCGCAGGCGCGAAGUCCCGCUGGCCUGGGGUGGCCUCGGCGGCCGGGCGCCCCUUGCAAGCGGACAUUACCGUAUUCCCUCGAAAGCAGGGGCUGCCCAGCUCGCUUCGUUUGCACGGACUCGAGGUCGUUUACCGAUUACAACCAAGAACCGCUAAAAACAAAAGAAAAAACCAUCGUUGAAAAAGCAAGCUUUUGUUUGUUUAAAUUAAAUGCAUUUUUUGAA